AACGCUAGCUACAGGCUUAACACAUGCAAGUCGAGGGGUAGCAGGGUAGCAAUACCGCUGACGACCGGCGCACGGGUGAGUAACGCGUAUCCAACCUUCCCCAUAGUCAGGAAUAGCCCGGCGAAAGUCGAAUUAAUGCCUGAUGUUUUCCACGGACGGCAUCUGAUGUGGAACAAAGAUUCAUCGCUAUGGGAUGGGGAUGCGUCUGAUUAGCUUGUUGGCGGGGUAACGGCCCACCAAGGCAACGAUCAGUAGGGGUUCUGAGAGGAAGGUCCCCCACAUUGGAACCGAGACACGGUCCAAACUCCUACGGGAGGCAGCAGUGAGGAAUAUUGGUCAAUGGGCGGAAGCCUGAACCAGCCAAGUAGCGUGAGGGAUGACUGCCCUAUGGGUUGUAAACCUCUUUUAUAAGGGAAUAAAAUACGGGACGUGUCCUGUUUUGCAUGUACCUUAUGAAUAGGGACCGGCUAAUUCCGUGCCAGCAGCCGCGGUAAUACGGAAGGUCCGGGCGUUAUCCGGAUUUAUUGGGUUUAAAGGGAGCGCAGGCGGUCUUAUAAGCGUGACGUGAAAUGCAGCGGCUCAACCGUAUGAUGUGCGUCGCGAACUGUGAGACUUGAGUGUAUUCGAUGUCAGCGGAAUUUGUGGUGUAGCGGUGAAAUGCUUAGAUAUCACGAAGAACUCCGAUUG
rnacentral:rRNA from 1 species